rnacentral:rRNA from 1 species
AGGACGAACGCUGGCGGCGUGCUUAACACAUGCAAGUCGAACGGUAAGGCCCUUCGGGGUACACGAGUGGCGAACGGGUGAGUAACACGUGGGUGAUCUGCCCUGCACUUCGGGAUAAGCUUGGGAAACUGGGUCUAAUACCGGAUAUGACUACGAAUCGCAUGGUUUGUGGUGGAAAGCUUUUGCGGUGUGGGAUGGGCCCGCGGCCUAUCAGCUUGUUGGUGGGGUGAUGGCCUACCAAGGCGACGACGGGUAGCCGGCCUGAGAGGGUGUCCGGCCACACUGGGACUGAGAUACGGCCCAGACUCCUACGGGAGGCAGCAGUGGGGAAUAUUGCACAAUGGGCGCAAGCCUGAUGCAGCGACGCCGCGUGAGGGAUGACGGCCUUCGGGUUGUAAACCGUCUUUCAGUAUCGUACGAAGCGCAAGUGACGGUAGGUACAGAAGAAGGACCGGCCAACUACGCGCCAGCAGCCGCGGUAA